GCCCCGGUAGUGUAGUGGUAGCACGCGCCUCCGGUAGGGUGAAACGCGGGUUUAACUCCCGCUUGAGGUC